GGGGGUCCCCGUGAGCAUGAGGCAGAUUCUUACUUCCUCCCUUGUCUUUAGUUGGAGAAAGAAAAAAAAAAAAAAAAGAGCCACAAGGAAUCCUAACGGAGGUUCUCCAGCCUCUGAGGUACAGAAAAGGCCCCCCCCGGGGGGGGGGCUGAGCUGGGAAGGGGGUGGCUCCAGAGUUCAGAGCCUCCACAGUCUUUCAGGGCUAGGACUCAGAGAUUCGGGGUGAAGUGCAGAGCCCAGUAGCUGUGUUUGGAACCCAGCAUAUCUCAAGGACGGAAUAUGGGCUGGACUGUGAUUCCAGAUCGGGCACUACUGAGGCUGAAAGAGCCGCUGCAACGGAGCGUCUGCACCCCAGGGAUGCGCCCAGGUGAGCUCCGCGCUUCCGGGGCUCUCUGUUCCUUGAGAGGCAUGGAGGACUGUGCUCCGGUGGCUGGGAGAAGGAAGACCAUGCCAGCCCCACGCACGCGCUUCACCUCGCCCACAAGGAUAGGCCGUACGUAGUGUUCACACGUGUCGCGGCAAGCAUGUGGUCUGUGGUCAUACCUGGCAGCCCAGGUUUGGGAAAAGCAGCCUCUGCCGGGGUCUGCCUGUGUUCUCUGCUCACAGCUCUCCACCCCUGCCAAGGAGGUUGUGGUUGCUAGCAGCAGUGGACACUUUCCCACAGUGCAGUUCUUCGUGACAUCUGCUAAGCUGGGGGUCUUCGCUGAAGCCCUGACUCCUCGCUCUGAUUUUCCCACCCGUUCUUCCUUGACUUUCUCAAGGAAGAGAAAGGAGAAUGGAUACAUUUAUUUAUUUAUUUAUUUAUUGACAAUUGAUGAUGGGGAAAGGGUAAUUUUUUUUUUAAAGCUAAUGAGCAUGUGUAUUUAGUUUAUGUGGGGAUUCUGUUAUGCUUCAUUGUUUGAGCUGUCUUAACGUCACUGUCAAACUAUUUGUAUUAUUAUAAUUUUGUAAUAUAUCCUUAAGCC
ensembl:processed_transcript